rnacentral:rRNA from 1 species
GAUGGACGCUAGCGGCAGGCUUAAUACAUGCAAGUCGAGGGGUAGCAAGAUUGUAGCAAUACAAUUGUUGACGACCGGCAAACGGGUGCGGAACACGUACACAACCUUCCUACAAGUGGGGAAUAGCCCAGAGAAAUUUGGAUUAAUACCCCGUAACAUAGCGAUGUGGCAUCACAUUGCUAUUAUAGCUUCGGCGCUUGUUGAUGGGUGUGCGGCUGAUUAGAUAGUUGGCGGGGUAACGGCCCACCAAGUCUACGAUCAGUAGCUGAUGUGAGAGCAUGAUCAGCCACACGGGCACUGAGACGCGGGCCCGACUCCUACGGGAGGCAGCAGUAAGGAAUAUUGGACAAUGGACGCAAGUCUGAUCCAGCCAUGCCGCGUGAAGGAUUAAGGUCCUCUGGAUUGUAAACUUCUUUUAUAAGGGACGAAAAAAGGUCUUUCUAGAUCGUCUGACGGUACCUUAUGAAUAAGCACCGGCUAACUCCGUGCCAGCAGCCGCCGUAAAAC